GACAGCAGUCGCCACGGUAAUACGAAGGGUGCAAGCGUUACUCGGAAUUAUUGGGCGUAAAGCGUGCGUAGGUGGUGGUUUAAGUCCGUUGUGAAAGCCCUGGGCUCAACCUGGGAACUGCAUUUGUGACUGGCAGGCUAGAGUAUGGCAGAGGGGGGUGGAAUUCCGCGUGUAGCAGUGAAAUGCGUAGAUAUGCGGAGGGACACCGAUGGCGAAGGCAGCCCCCUGGGCCAAUACUGACGCUCAUGCACGAAAGCGUGGGGAGCAAACAGGAUUAGAUACCCCGGUAGUCCCUGUCUCUUAUAC
rnacentral:rRNA from 1 species